UACAGAGGGUGCAAGCGUUAAUCGGAAUUACUGGGCGUAAAGGGUGCGUAGGUGGUUAGUUAAGUCAGAUGUGAAAUCCCAAGGCUUAACCUUGGAAUGGCAUUUGAUACUGGUUGGCUAGAGUACAGAAGAGGGAAGUGGAAUUUCCGGUGUAGCGGUGAAAUGCGUAGAUAUCGGAAGGAACAUCAGUGGCGAAGGCGACUUCCUGGUCUGUUACUGACACUGAGGCACGAAAGCGUGGGGAGCGAACAGG
rnacentral:rRNA from 1 species